GUUUGCCAGUGCCCAUCUGAAUGGAGAGGCAGUGCUGAUUGCUCUCUUCUAACCAAACCAACAGAUUUUACCUCAAAUUCAACUGAGACUAAAUUGUCUAAGGUCAGCAGCAGCAGUGACUCCAAUAAGACACUGGGUGUCUUGGCUUUAUCUUCAGUGGGAGCAGCUGUUGCUGGUGCCAUAUAUGGAAAGAAAGUAUUCAACAAGAAAAAGAGAGAGGCAGUUAAGUUCCAACAAUUAUCUGAAAUGCAGGCAAGUGGGAUAUUGGAUGAUGACGAUUAUGAAGAUCACUGUAGGGUACCCCAGAGGAUUCAUGGUGAUAUCUCACACAUUUAGUAGGCACCUCUUUUACUAGUUAAAACUUAUUCUAGCGAGAUCUA